CGCUCAUAAAUACCCACUUACCCAAAAGAAACACCAAAAAAUAAAAACCCACUUCCAACCCCUCCCUCUCUUCUCCUCUUUCAAGUCUAAAACGAUCAGAACAGAACCCUUCUCUCUCGGCUCCCCACUGUAACUGUCUUUCGUGCUCUCUCUCCUCUCUCUUACCAGGUUGCAUCAGUCUGAUGAACCAAGGCAUCAGUGAGGAACCAGGGCACUAAAUUUCUCUCCUUGAUAUCCUGUCCUGAAAAAGGAAAUUUCCUGCAUUCGGUUGCGGGGAAAUUUUCUGAGAAACGGAAAGAAGAUCAAGAUGGAAAAGAAUCCGAGGGAAAAUGCCUUGGCCUACGUACUGAAUCAAGUACAAGGAGUCAAACAUUUCAAGGAUGCUCAAGAGAAGUUAAAAAAGAGCAUAUAUGAUAGAGGCUUUCUUCUCUUCAAAAAGGUUAGAGAGAAACUUGGUAAAGACAAGUUCGUCGAAUUCCUAAAGCAACUGCAAAGGUAUAGCAAUGGAAUUAUAGAUUUGACGGAGUUUUUAAACUUGGUGGACGAUGCAGUUCGAGACGAUCAAGAUCUUAUGAACGACAUUGAUGCUUUUUUGGAGCAUUGUGAUAAGGAGCAGAUGAAUUGGUCGCUUAGGAAUGAAAGUUGACUCUUAACAAGUUUUGUUGUAGUUAGUUCCAUUCACCAUUUUAUGAACUUGUGGAUUUUGAAGGUGUGAAUUUGUUCAACUUCUCUUUUCUGCUGUAACAUUUGAACCAAGCUUUUCGUCGGUCUUUGUAUUUUUGUAUA